CGCGCCCGCUGGCGGCAGGCCUAACACAUGCAAGUCGAACGAACCUUUCGGGGUUAGUGGCGGACGGGUGAGUAACACGUGGGAACGUGCCUUUAGGUUCGGAAUAACUCAGGGAAACUUGUGCUAAUACCGAAUGUGCCCUUCGGGGGAAAGAUUUAUCGCCUUUAGAGCGGCCCGCGUCUGAUUAGCUAGUUGGUUGAGGUAAUGGCUCACCAAGGCGACGAUCAGUAGCUGGUCUGAGAGGAUGAUCAGCCACAUUGGGACUGAGACACGGCCCAAACUCCUACGGGAGGCAGCAGUGGGGAAUCUUGCGCAAUGGGCGAAAGCCUGACGCAGCCAUGCCGCGUGAAUGAUGAAGGUCUUAGGAUUGUAAAAUUCUUUCACCGGGGACGAUAAUGACGGUACCCGGAGAAGAAGCCCCGGCUAACUUCGUG
rnacentral:rRNA from 1 species